rnacentral:rRNA from 1 species
GCAUAUCAAUAAGCGGAGGAAAAGAAACCAACAGGGAUUGCCUUAGUAACUGCGAGUGAAGCGGCAAAAGCUCAAAUUUGAAAUCUGGGGCCUCACAGCCUCCGAAUUGUAAUUUCACGAUACGUUUUCGACUGAAGGCUCUGCUUUAAGUUCCUUGGAACAGGACGUCACAGAGGGUGAGAAUCCCGUGAUAGGUGGAGCCUGAUGCAUAUGAUACGUAUUCAACGAGUCGAGUUGUUUGGGAAUGCAGCUCAAAAUGGGAGGUAAAUUUCUUCUAAAGCUAAAUAUUGGCGAGAGACCGAUAGCGCACAAGUAGAGUGAUCGAAAGAUGAAAAGCACUUUGAAAAGAGAGUUAAAAAGUACGUGAAAUUGUUGAAAGGGAAGCGCUUGAGACCAGACUCAAUCUGUAGUGAUCAAUUUGGCUUCUGUCAGAUGCACUUGCUACUUAUUGGGACAGCAUCGGUUUUGGCGGUGGGAUAAAGUCUUGAGGAAUGUAGCUAUCUUCGGGUAGUGUUAUAGCCUCUUGAGUAAUGCCACCAGCUGGGACCGAGGACCGCGCCGCAAGGCUAGGAUGCUGUCAUAAUGGUCUUCAGCNACCCGUC